GACGAGCGGUGGCGGCGUGCCUAAUACAUGCAAGUCGAGCGAGCGGAGCUAACAGAUUUACUUCGGUAAUGACGUUAGGAAAGCGAGCGGCGGAUGGGUGAGUAACACGUGGGGAACCUGCCCCAUAGUCUGGGAUACCACUUGGAAGCAGGUGCUAAUACCGGAUAAGAAAGCAGAUCGCAUGAUCAGCUUUUAAAAGGCGGCGUAAGCUGUCGCUAUGGGAUGGCCCCGCGGUGCAUUAGCUAGUUGGUAAGGUAAAGGCUUACCAAGGCGAUGAUGCAUAGCCGAGUUGAGAGACUGAUCGGCCACAUUGGGACUGAGACACGGCCCAAACUCCUACGGGAGGCAGCAGUAGGGAAUCUUCCACAAUGGACGCAAGUCUGAUGGAGCAACGCCGCGUGAGUGAAGAAGGUUUUCGGAUCGUAAAGCUCUGUUGUUGGUGAAGAAGGAUAGAGGUAGUAACUGGCCUUUAUUUGACGGUAAUCAACCAGAAAGUCACGGCUAACUACGUGCCAGCAGCCGCGGUAAUACGUAGGUGGCAAGCGUUGUCCGGAUUUAUUAGGCGUAAAGCGAGCGCAGGCGGAAGAAUAAGUCUGAUGUGAAAGCCCUCGGCUUAACCGAGGAACUGCAUCGGAAACUGUUUUUCUUGAGUGCAGAAGAGGAGAGUGGAACUCCAUGUGUAGCGGUGGAGUGCGUAGAUAUAUGGAAGAACACCAGUGGCGAAGGCGGCUCUCUGGUCUGCAACUGACGCUGAGGCUCGAAAGCAUGGGUAGCGAACAGGAUUAGAUACCCUGGUAGUCCAUGCCGUAAACGAUGAGUGCUAAGUGUUGGGAGGUUUCCGCCUCUCAGUGCUGCAGCUAACGCAUUAAGCACUCCGCCUGGGGAGUACGACCGCAAGGUUGAAACUCAAAGGAAUUGACGGGGGCCCGCACAAGCGGUGGAGCAUGUGGUUUAAUUCGAAGCAACGCGAAGAACCUUACCAGGUCUUGACAUCUAGUGCCAUUUGUAGAGAUACAAAGUUCCCUUCGGGGACGCUAAGACAGGUGGUGCAUGGCUGUCGUCAGCUCGUGUCGUGAGAUGUUGGGUUAAGUCCCGCAACGAGCGCAACCCUUGUUAAUAGUUGCCAGCAUUAAGUUGGGCACUCUAAUGAGACUGCCGGUGACAAACCGGAGGAAGGUGGGGAUGACGUCAAGUCAUCAUGCCCCUUAUGACCUGGGCUACACACGUGCUACAAUGGGCAGUACAACGAGAAGCGAGCCUGCGAAGGCAAGCGAAUCUCUGAAAGCUGUUCUCAGUUCGGACUGCAGUCUGCAACUCGACUGCACGAAGCUGGAAUCGCUAGUAAUCGCGGAUCAGCACGCCGCGGUGAAUACGUUCCCGGGCCU
rnacentral:rRNA from 1 species